CAAGUCUCCUGAUUUGUAGGUCGUGUCCAGCUGCUCCAGACGCAUGGCCGUGGCCUGGCCUCCUACUACAUGCUGGGCCUUCCCCUCCUCCAGGAUCACUUAGGUCUGCCGGUUCAGCCCUGCUCUGGGGUGAUGCUCAUCCUGAGCUUAUCCCCAGCUGAUGGAAGGACAGCAUCACAACUUGUCCAGGGUUCCAGCAACCUCCAAGGGGAUAAGCUGGGCCCAGCAGGACUCGGGAGAGUAGAGGCUCAGGGCUGCGCUGUAUGGGGGACCAGGGACACAAGGGAGGAGCAGCACUGUGUGGCUUUGCUCAUCGGAGAUGUCUGGGCUAAGAGUGCCCCCUGGCACCUGGGAAGAGGGCUCUGGGACGGUUCACAUCCUGUGCUCAUUUUAGUAUUUUAAUCUGAGUCCUCCGGAAGAGUUGGGAUUUUCCUCCUUCCCAAAGCUUCCUUGUUUUCAUGCUGCCUCCCCUCUGAGGAAGAGAGCUUUGAGGAUGACACACAAAAGAGAUUUUUUUUUUUUUAGCAAUAAACUUAUCAAAGUUACACUGCAUGAGGUCACUGUGGGCAAGGAUUUGCUGGGUUUGAGGGUACCCCUUUCUGUAGCUCCCAGGACCUUAAAGCUCCUGGAGACCAGGUGGGGCCCGGGUUGCAGGGAUGGGGCGUCUGUGUCCCAUCUCCACACUCAUGUUGCCUGCCGUGUAGCUCUCCUCCUCCCAUCAGGUACUUCUGGUCACCUUUCUGCUCUACAACGACCCCUCUCCAGUAUGAUCGUCUGGUACCAAGUGGCCUCCCUGAGACAAAGUGGGACCCCGAGUGUGCAGGAGCAGCUGCACGUUCACUGAGCUGGUGUCCACAAGGUGGCUAUGAGCCCACGGCCAUAUGGCCAUAUGGCCCGUCCUCGACUCCAGGUACGAACCAUUGAA
rnacentral:lncRNA from 1 species